CACAUACUCCCUCCGUCCGGAAAUACUUGUCAGAGAAAUGGAUAAAAAUGAUAUAUCUAGAAUUAAAAUAUGUCUAGAUACAUCUAUUUCUCUAACAAGUAUUUUCGGACGGAGGGAGUAUAUA
rfam:Triticum aestivum genome assembly, contig: Triticum_aestivum_CS42_TGACv1_scaffold_361875_4DS